CUUCAGGAACACAAACUAAUAGAUCCUGACUUUACCCCUGUGAGUUAUAUAGGUACAAAUUACUAUCACUUUUAGAGAUGAGGAAACAGAUACAGAGAAGAACUGAGUUCCUGGAUGCCAGUCCCCUGACUGGAUCACUAGACCAUGCUUCUCUUUAAUUUAAGGAACUGCACUUUUUCAUGUAUAAGCAUAGAUGCACAUGUGUUGUAUGAAAAUGUAACAAAACCCUAUUGCCUAAUAUUUGAAAGCAUUUAAUAGGUACAUAACUUUUAACUCUACUGAAAUACGUUGUGCACAGAGAACUUGUAUGGCAGCACAGGGAAUAAAGUAAUUUACAAAAAGCUAUUUAUAUAGAGAAAGCUGUUGUAUGUGCUAUUGUGUGUAUAUAUGGCAUCGGGUGGACUGGGCCCCAAGAGGGAACUGGUUCAGGCCACUUGAACCUCAUUAAUAGACUCUGGAGAGGGCAGCUGGUCUCUGUAAAGAGCCAGGGAGGAACAGGAACCAGGAAGAAGAAGUUGUAGCAGAAUGAAGCUGCCGAGAGUUAGUAGGCUCCUCCAGGCUGCAGUGCAUAGAAAGUUUCAUGAGAGUCUCAGACUUCAGGGACAAAAAAAUUCCCACCAGAGAGUCUGCCGUCUAAUUCAGCAAAAGACAGAAGUGAAUUGGGAAUUCAGGGUUACACACUCAGGACAAAGGACUGCAACUUUAAACUUGUCUCUUGGCAAACCAUGUUUAGUCCUUUCCCUAAUCACUGAGGAAGAAUGAGAUUAGCCUGUUGUUCGCUGGGGAUCAUGUCACACAUUUCAUUUUGACACCCACCUCUGAAUGAUUAGCCCCAUCACUACUAUGAUGGCAUACAGUCUGCUGUCUUUUGCCAUAAUUUCAGCCAGCUAAAAAUCCUGCUCCCUCCAGGUCCCUAAGAAUUUAAUCUUGCUCUGCAGCAGAAGGAGAUGGUGUCCCAGUAUCUUCUCCCCUGCCCAAUGGUUGUCUUUGCUGAAUAAAAGGAGAAGUUAGACUUCUUGGAGGAGGAAU
rnacentral:lncRNA from 1 species